rnacentral:rRNA from 1 species
AGAGUUUGAUUCUGGCUCAGGGUGAACGCUGGCGGCGUGCCUAACACAUGCAAGUCGAGCGGGUACCCGCAAGGGUACCAGCGGCGCACGGGUGAGUAACACGUGGGUAAUCUACCCCUCGGAGGGGGAUAACCGGGGGAAACUCCGGCUAAUACCCCAUACGAUCCAACAACACAAGUUGUUGGAUGAAAGGAGCGUUUGCUCCGCCGAGGGAUGAGCCCGCGGCCCAUCAGGUAGUUGGUGGGGUAGUGGCCCACCAAGCCUACGACGGGUAGCCGGCCUGAGAGGGUGGUCGGCCACAAGGGCACUGAGACACGGGCCCUACUCCUACGGGAGGCAGCAGUGGGGAAUCUUGGACAAUGGGCGAAAGCCUGAUCCAGCGACGCCGCGUGGGGGAUGAAGCCCUUCGGGGUGUAAACCCCUGUUGCGAGGGAGGAAUAAGGCCUGGAGGAAAUGCCAGGCCGAUGACUGUACCUCGCGAGGAAGCCCCGGCUAACUACGUGCCAGCAGCCGCGGUAAUACGUAGGGGGCGAGCGUUACCCGGAUUCACUGGGCGUAAAGCGGGUGUAGGCGGCUCGGUAAGUCGGGUGUGAAAUCCCACAGCUCAACUGUGGAACUGCGCCCGAAACUGCUGAGCUUGGGGCCGGUAGAGGGAGACGGAACUGCCGGUGUAGGGGUGAAAUCCGUAGAUAUCGGCAGGAACGCCGGUGGGGAAGCCGGUCUCCUGGGCCGCGCCCGACGCUGAGACCCGAAAGCUAGGGGAGCAAACCGGAUUAGAUACCCUGGUAGUC